ACCAAUGAUUUUCCUAUCCAAAUUGCUAGAGGUUGUAGUUGAUCCAAUAUCCUGUUCGGGGAGAACCUACUCGGUGUUACCACAUUUCCUAUGACAACAAUUUUCUGUUAGUUGU